CAGUCGCCGCGGGAAUACGUAGGUCCCGAGCGUUGUCCGGAUUUAUUGGGCGUAAAGCGAGCGCAGGCGGUUAGAUAAGUCUGAAGUUAAAGGCUGUGGCUUAACCAUAGUACGCUUUGGAAACUGUUUAACUUGAGUGCAAGAGGGGAGAGUGGAAUUCCAUGUGUAGCGGUGAAAUGCGUAGAUAUAUGGAGGAACACCGGUGGCGAAAGCGGCUCUCUGGCUUGUAACCGACGCUGAGGCUCGAAAGCGUGGGGAGCAAACAGGAUUAGAUACCCCAGUAGUCCCUGUCUCUUAUACC
rnacentral:rRNA from 1 species